UGACAAUUAUGGUUAAAUAAACUUUCCUAGGCCUCUGAACUUAUCAUUGACUCUGUCUCCUUUGUAACUCUGCUCUCCUCUUCCCAGAUGACUGGCCAUCUGGAUGCUGUAGUGUCAGGGGAAGUACACAAAGCAGCCUUCCCCAUUCCGUGUGAGAAGACUGACAUUCUCUGCACUUAAAGGCAAAGAUGCUUGCAUCAAAUUUACCGAAUAAGGCACAGACUCACUUCAGGACCCUGUGUCCCAUUGUUCCUUCUAUAUUUGGAAGACUAAACUAAGAGAGUUCUGAUAAUGGACCAAGGGAUACACCAUCUAUGACGUUAUUAUUAACACAAAUGGGUUAAAUAAGAGGAAAAAUAAUUUAUCAUCUGUGUCCCUCGCAGGCAAACAGGAAAUCCUUCUGAUAGUUAUCUGGCCAGCAUGACUCAGCAUGGCUGUGACUCAUCUUCCAUUCCCUGGUGUAUUUCUAAUGUGUACCCAUAGUGUGAGUCCAUGGAGGCUGCCAGGUUUUUGUAAUCCCUCUUCUACCCCUACCCUCAACCUCCCAGGCAGCCUGAGAUCUGACAAAGAGAAGUUAAAAAACGCAAAUAUUCCAAAUCAGUGACUGGAAAAAGUGAUAUCACAAGCGAAACAAGAAUCCAGUCCAUAGGCCAAGACUGCUAUCUCUCUCUCUUUUUUUUUUUUUUUUUUGAGAUAGAGUCUCGCUCUGUUGCCCAGGCUGGAAUGCAGUGGCGCGAUAUUGGCUGACUGCAAGCUCCGCCUCCCGGGUUCACGCCAUUCUCCUGAGUAGAGUAGCUGGGACUACAGGCGACCGCCACCACACCCAGCUAAUUUUUUUGUAUUUUUUUUAGUAGAGACGGGGUUUCACCGUGUUGGCCUGGAUGGUCUCGAGCUCCUGACCUAGCUACCUGCCUGCCUCAGCCUCCCAAAGUGCUGGGAUUACAGGGGUGAGCCACCACGCCCGGCCCAAGUCUGCUAUCUCUAUUCCAACAAGGCUGGUGAUGAAUACCAACAGUAACCCUGAGAAGUUCACCUUUGUCCCUUCCACUCAGCCCACUGUGUGCCAUACUGGGAACUGAAGAACUAGCCUCAGGGUAAAGAAAGCUAGUGAUUGCAAUCAAAAUGAAGCAGAACAUCACAUAAGAUUUGAUUCCAUGGGAUUAUCCCAGAACCCCACGUUCCUAGACCUGAUACCAUCUUCAAGCAGAAGGGAAGUCUUUGGGGCCUGGAAUAUAGCAUGACAAUUUGCAUUCAGACCACUGUCUCCAAAAAUGUCAUCACAGAAAGCUAUCUUGCAAACCACAGUCAUAUUUUCUAAUGAAAAUUGCCACAGCUGCUCUGACCUCCAGCGACCACCACCCUGAUCAAUCAGCAGCCUUUAGCACUGAGGCCACACUAUCCACCAGCAAAGAUAUUAGAUUAAGACUCACUGAGGCUCAGAUGAUCAGUAGCAUUUUUCAUCUGCAUCUUGUUAUUGUGCCGCGAGAAAUAGCAGCCUGACCCUCAGUUUGAUCCGGGAUAAAAAUUUGGCACACAAGCCAGGAAUUAAGGACAGUGCUGCAUUCAGCGGCUGGCAACUUGCUAUGAGACAGUCUUCAGGAGGAUCCCAGAAGCUGCUGGGUGAGGUUUCCCCCGGGACCCUCCAGAGGGCUGUUGUGCGCAAAUCUGCAUGUCCUUUUCACUACUGAGGAGAAACAGAGAUCAGGAGCAGAUGCGCUCAAAGGAGUCAAGGAAGCUUUUCUUUUGUGCUAUUAACAGAUUUUAACAAUUAAGUAAAGUAUACUCCUAUGAACAAAAUUUGGAGCAUAUUUGUUUCUCUCUGCCUUGUCCCUCUAGAAUUUGGAAACUAUCUGUGAGUAUUCUUAAUUUAUGGCAAUAUAGUUAUUUGCAUAAGUGCAAUAAAAAUCUGUUUUCUUUUGUAACAUGUCACAAUUGGAACACCUGGUUAUUUUAAC
rnacentral:lncRNA from 1 species